GCAGUUGAAAAUAUUAGGUGAUGAUAGAAAACAAACAGCCAACUUGUAAUGUGCUGGGUCUCAUAAUGUGCAUAGCUGUCUGUCCCUGGGAGGCAGUGCAGAAAGAUGUACCUUGACUAGCUUUAUUUAUUUAUUUUAAAAAUAAUAACCUCUGAAUUUGGCUUCCUUUGGAGCAAAGGAAAGUCCUGCUUCAAAGGGAGUUGUUCUGUAGCAUUUCUGUUUCUCUCUUUGCUCAUCUGACAGUUAUUGCUGCCUUUCAAAAAGCUUACUAACAUGUGUAACUGCAGAGAACAUGUGAGGAGUUCUCCCUGGUAUCUUGGGUUCAUUCUCGGAAGUCAAGCUUUUAAUGGUUCUGUGCAUAAGUAGGAAGGCUUUGAGCACUUCUGUGUGAUUGCACAGCCAUCUCUAUUGUCAUUAGCUGUCAUAAACACAGUAGCAGGUUCGAAAGUCUUCAACUGUAGGGUAUUUCCUCUAGGAAAGUUGUGUGCCCAAAUAAUCUUGAAAGGAGGGAAUAAAGUUUUAAAUCAUAAUCACAGAAUAAAGAGAUUUAAAAUGAGGCAGAUAGCUGUUUAUUUCUACAUAACUUGUUUUUCUUGACACCUGGUUCCUGUCUGUACCUCCUGAGAACAGUGAGUACAACAUGGCAGUUCGUUGCAAGAGCUGCUGAAAACAUAGUUUUAAUUCAUUAUAUCCUUGUUAUUUAGGGAAUUCUUAUUUCAUGGUAUUUGUUUCCUUUCUUAGUAGUUUAGAAGUUGAUUUAGUCCUUGCUUUCUUCAGUGUAGAAAUAAAUAAUUAGUUACAGGGUUUUGUUUUACUUUCCAUUGUGCCUAGUAGGAGCAAAGGAAGAGGUGAAAUUAGUUCACUUUAAUAGCUGGUCAAUUUUCAGGUAUGGACAGCAUCUAAACCUAGUUCAGAUAAUUUUGUAGGCUUCAUGUCUCCUGCAUUGCAGAUGCAUUUAAAGAUGCAGUGGAGCAGUUAUGAUCCUGAGGAGCACUGGAAAUGUACAAGAACUGUGAUGAUGGGCUUAUGCUUUGAGCAAUAAAUACUCCUCAGGCAGGGCAGGCUUGUGCAUAUCCAGAGAUUUUGUUCUUGAUCUUGUUCCAAAGCCAAGCACAGUGGUGUGUUCACUACCUGCCUGGUACUUUCUGGCAAGAGCAGUGUCAGCUGCUUAGCAGUUACUGUAAAUUCUUUUUGCUUCGGAUCUCACAGCUCCUGGGUGGUUCUACUUGGCAACUCCUCUCUGCUCUUCUAGCACACAGACCACUUCUGUAUCUCAUCUCCUUUUUACUGCUGAACAAAGCAAAAACAUUGUGUGUUAGGAGGGUCUAAAAUGUGAUUAUGGUGCUAAGUGACUUUCACCACACACUCAGAAGUAUUUUUAUUAUAUUCAACUAAUUACUCCCUGUUGCAAGCAUAAUUAAACAUUAAAGUUCAUCAGAUUAUCAUGUAUUUAUUUCAUGUUCUUUAAAACAUUUUGAUAUUCAGCCAGCUCUGCUUUGGAAUAAUCCCUCUUUAGGAUAGUACAGAGGACCAGGGCCUAUCAUGUCUAGGACUGGAUAACCUUUUGCUCUUGGUAGAUGGAAAUGAUCACUUCAGUUUUGUAUUGACUAAUUUGGUAGGCAGAUAAAAAAAUACAUGAGUUUACGUGAGUAUUUAAUUUUAUUAAAUUCAAGGUGAUGGAGAAAGCACCAUGGUGCUAGCAAGCCUUUAUGAAGUUGGAAAGAAUAUUGUUUUCUUCGUAAUUUUUAAAUAAGAGUAAACCCUGCUCAUUACUGGAACUCUCAGGGCCCAUGGACUUGUGGAUGUCAAGUUUGCACAGGUGUUCUCUCAGUCUUUCUUGACUAAGGGAAAGUUUUCCUUCCAGCAUUCCUCCACCCUGGUUUUCUGAGUCAGAGAUUCCUGAGGGUUGGUCUUGUCAGUGAAGACAAUGCAAAGGUGAUAAAAUUACUCACUGUGAGUAUCAAAACUGAGAAAAAGAAAAGCCAACCCAAAAAGAAAAGCCAACCGUCAGAGGAAACUUUGGUUUAAAGAGCAAAAUGUACAACAAGAAACUUUGGAAAGAAUGAAGAAUUCACACCUGCCCUGUAUUGCCUAUUCAGUGUCUAAAAAAUCCCAAGUUAAAUCUCUGCAUUAAGAAUUAGGUUAAAAGAAAAAUGAUUAAUACUUGCAUGUAUGCAUAUAUAUAGCUGGUCUCUGGUUAUGUAUGUACAGCUUCAGGGUUUCUUGUGACUAUGGAACUGAAAGUUGUGUUUAAAGGAAGAGACACAGUCCUGCAAUUUAAUAAUGGCAUCGGUGAAGCUUUAAUAAAAACACUAUCUGCAGUGAA